rnacentral:lncRNA from 1 species
GUGGCUUACUAGUUCUGAAUUGCUUUCCUUAGACCAUAAACCCAAUCUAGAAGCUAUCCCUCAACAGAGAGGAGCAAAAUGAGCUGAUUGGCUUGGCUUUAGGUCACGUGUCCUUCCCAAGGACUGACUGUAAGGUGGAAUAGACGCCCGACAAAAAUUGAGCUGUUACAAAAGUGAUGUGCCUGGCCACCACGUAUAUUAUAACUUGUAUAGCUCUGCAUUCGAAACAUCACUUUUCCCCAGUAAAGUAUAAGCCCUGAGAUCCCCGGUUCAAUGUCUGUCUUGUUCUUCAGCGCCAAGCUGCAAGUCUCAUGCGUAGUAAGCACUCAGUAAAUAUCUGUUGAAUGAAUGACUAGGACCCAUUGAUUAAUGUCUCUCGAUUUAGUCUCCUGUUAUUUUUGGUAACUAUGAAAUUGUGGUGGUGGUAGAGUCUAUGAUAUUUUCAAAUCAUCUUUAUAAAUUAUUAAAUUUUAUAAAGGUCUUGCAAAGGGCUUUUUUUUCCAUGUAAAAACUGGUGGCUCAACUGGUAACCUGACUGAUGCUGUAGCUUACCUUCCUCCGCAGCGUUUGUGCCCGGGAAGCACACCCUCAAUGACCUUUUCUUUUCUUCUGGGCCCUAGGCAUGGACGACAUCGAGCCACAGUCACUCAGCACUUGACGGCCUCCUUCAGCAUUCGAGACGCUGGGGACUCACCUCAGAGCUGGCAACUUGGCUGUGGCCCGCCUCACUGUCCCUCCUUGUGACCAACUAUGACUCUUAGUGGAUCUUCGAUCUCUGGGCUUCUCCUGGUCUGCAGUGAAGGAAGGCAGCGUGAAGACAAAACCUUCACACAAAGGAGCGCCAAGCAAAGCAAGAGAACUGGAGAGAAAUGGUGCCAGAGCCCCAACUGCUCUUCACUCAGAAUCCUCAGGACCUCAGAAUUUCCUGCUAUAUGAGGUAAAGGUGAUUAUUAUUUUUUUCAGUUCAGUUCAUAUUUUCUGUUGCUUAGAGCU